UAGGGAAUCUUCCGCAAUGGACGAAAGUCUGACGGAGCAACGCCGCGUGAGUGAUGAAGGUUUUCGGAUCGUAAAACUCUGUUGUUAGGGAAGAACAAGUAUCGGAGUAACUGCAGGUACCUUGACGGUACCUAACCAGAAAGCCACGGCUAACUACGUGCCAGCAGCCGCGGUAAUACGUAGGUGGCAAGCGUUGUCCGGAAUUAUUGGGCGUAAAGCGCGCGCAGGUGGUUCCUUAAGUCUGAUGUGAAAGCCCACGGCUCAACCGUGGAGGGUCAUUGGAAACUGGGGAACUAGAGUGCAAAAGAGGAAAGUGGAAUUCCAAGUGUAGCGGUGAAAUGCGUAGAGAUUUGGAGGAACACCAGUGGCGAAGGCGACUUUCUGGUCUGUAACAGACACUGAGGCGCGAAAGCGUGGGGAGCGAACAGG
rnacentral:rRNA from 1 species